rnacentral:misc_RNA from 1 species
GAUGAAGAACGUAGCGAAAUGUGAUACUUGGUGUGAAUUGCAGAAUCCCGUGAACCAUCGAGUCUUUGAACGCAAGUUGCGCCCGAAGCCAUUAGGCCGAGGGCACGCCUGCCUGGGCGUCACACGUCGUUGCCCCCCCAUCUAAUCCUUCGGGAUUGCGGGGGGCGGAUGAUGGCCUCCCGUGCGCCUCGUCGCGCGGUUGGCAUAAAUGCCAAGUCCUCGGCGACGCACGCCACGACAAUCGGUGGUUGCGAAACCUCGGUUGCCCGUCGUGUGCGGUCGUCGCGCAUCGAGGGCUCGAAAAAAUUGCCGGGCUCCGGCUCGACUUUCAACGCGACCCCAGGUCAGGCGGGGUUACCCGCUGAAUUUAAGCAUAUCAAUAAGCGGAGGA